CCAAUAUUUUCCUAAAACAUUCACUUCAUUUAGUUGACAGACAGGAAUCAUUUCUUCUUCUGGUUUCAGCAUGCAUUCCCCUCUUCCCUUGGGUCACAGUCCCUCCCUAAUUCCGAUCCACCCCUGUGGUUUUCUGCUUUGUUCCAUAUCUGGGUCGCGGGGUGUCCCUCCCAUGCACCCCUCAGCACUCUGCACAUCUGAAGUGCUGUUGUCUGGUUUCUUGUUUAUAACUCCCCAAAAGACAACGAGCGGGGCUGCUCAUUCUGCACGCUGUACUUCUGAUGAACACAACACCGGCUAGCACACGACAGGACAGAACAAAGCUCACAGGUGACAGCAGGCACAUCAACCCUGCCUUAGUCCCAACAGAGGGAAAGAGAAACAGAAGGAGGGAAGAGAAAUAGACAGUAGAAAGGAGAGGAAGGGAAGGACCGUGCCUCUUGCUUCCAAUCUGAUGGGUAGAGACGGCGAGAGAGGAGCAGCGGAGCCAACAGAGGCGUGCAGGAAGACAGGUGAGAAAGGGAAGUGGAGCAGCACUGGUCCCGUGGGGCGUGGGUGAUGUGUCCCUGUCUCCGCUCUGUUAAAAUGACUCUGGAGUCUUGUGUCAUCCCUCUACCCCUUGAAACGCCAGCUCCUUGUCUCCCUAGUUCUUCAACUGCACUGGUCUUUAAACUCUACAGGACAGCAGUAUUGAGGAGAAGCACUUCUGUGUUCUAGAGGCCAGAAUAUCUUAACCCCUCCAGGAAUAAGCCUGAGAGACAUAAAUGACUGUCAGGUUUGGAUUUCCUUAAAAUCCCAUUGGCUGGAAAUAUUUAAAGGAACUACAGAGGCGAUUUAAGGCCCACUCACUUACCUUAAGAUACACAAUGGGCAUAUCUACCCUAAUGUUUCACCACUUAUUUUUCCAAAAGGAAUCCACUGAAUUCUAGAGGAGACACACUAUUCCCCUUCUGCGAACUAAUUUCCUACUUUUAUUUCUAGCCUUUGAAAGGACACUUGGAGAGUCGUUCAUUUUGGGGAAGACUUUAUAACUUGUAGUCUCUGUGAGGUUGGACAGUUAUUUAUUUUUAUUUAGAUAUUUAUUAUUAAUUGCUUCUGAGUUUGUGAAUUUUCCACAGCCAGUAUUCAAAGGCCAUCCUCAUGUUUGUGCCACUCUGUAUAUUCAUCACAACUCUUUUUCUUUUUUUCAGAGCUGAGGACCGAACCCAGGGCCUUGCACUUGGUAGGCAAGCGCUCUACCACUGAGCUAAAUCCCCAAUCCCUCAUCACAACUCUUACCUCGUCAUCCUACUUACUCCAAUUUUCCUUACCUCCCCUUUCAUAUGUCAUCUUAUCAAUGAACCAAUUACACACGUGUGUUAGGAUAUGCCCAUGGGAACAGGAAACAAACAGUCAUGUCCUCCCUCUCCCUCCCCAGCUCAUCCCUCCCUUGAUUUUUGUAGACUGUAACACGCAUCCUGGUGAAGUUUCUUUAAUGCCUCUCUCAGCGUGGGCCUUUGAUCACUGGUUCUUUGUUUAUUUCCUUCACUGUGAUAUUUUUUUUUUCAGAGCUUCUUGCUAAGUGCAAAUGAGAACAGAAGUUUCAACCUCCUGCAUAAUGCUGUAAAAUAAAUAAAUAACAGAAUUUUAUUUAAAUAAACUACUCAAAUCCA